UCAGGGAAUGAAGUUCUCCCCGGCACAUGCCGAAACCGCUGAUUUAAAAGGCUGAUGACUUCUGCAUUUA
rnacentral:ncRNA from 1 species